UAUAGGUUUGGUCCCAGCCUUCCUGUUAACUUUCAAUAGACUUAUACAUGCAAGCAUCCACGCCCCGGUGAGUAACGCCCUUCGAAUCACACAGGACUAAAAGGAGCAGGUAUCAAGCACACACACUCUUGUAGCUCACAACGCCUUGCUUAAC
rnacentral:rRNA from 1 species